rnacentral:other from 1 species
UUUUCCCUGGGUGGCGCGUGAUCGCCACUGGAAUUGCUGAGCCAAUGACCAUCGAUUGCGGUGCAGCUUCCAGCGCCGCCCGUGCGCAGGCCCGCCUUGCGGGAAGCCUGACGGCGGCACAGCCGCGCCCCCUCUGAACGUAGGUUCAGAAUACGUGGCGACACGGCUAUCCGGGGUACUU